CUGUAUUUUACACCUCAACAGGACAUGGUCCUUCCUGUAACAACUGCCACCUGCAGCUCAUCAGGGUCCAAAGGGGAUGACUCUUGGAUGGAUAAUUCUCUGCUGAUUGAAGCACUUGCUACGUUUGAAAGACAAGGGGAUGCAGGGGACAGACAAAGAGGACUAAAACAGGGCCAGUCAGGCACUCAGACUCCUGCACCGGCUUCUGCACCAGCUCCUGGUCUUGAGAAGACAUCUGAUGCGACCGUUGCAGAUGUAACACUUCAGCCGUGUUAGCCGGUGCUACCUGAGGUAACAUUUGAGGGCUGGCACAAAAUGUGUGAGUCUGUUGCACAUGGGCUGCCACAAGCAGAUUUACAGUGGCUGAAGUAGGACGAUGUCAAUGCCCUGUUCCAGAGGGCAACAUCGUACCAGGACAAACAUGGCCGUAAGAAGUGGAGGAAAGUCCUAAAGAUCACCAGAUGUAGUUUAUCCCCCGGAAUUCCCUGGAGUGGUGGGACAGAGAGUUCCCUCGGCAGACCCCUUUUUUCACAGCAAUUUUUUUGAGACCAGUAGGUGUGUGGUGGCACAGUCUUCGCUGUCCCAGGCCUAAGUGCCCGGCACGUGGCAAUAAGACUGCUUUUCUGUACCGUUGUGGUUACUCCAACACGGUCAGACAGAUCUGUGGCAUAGCUGGCUGGUACUCCAUGUUUACGGGGGUGCUGGCCUGCAAUGCAUGCAGGAAAGUUGUCAAAGAGUCGGAGGAGCAUUCCAUUGGCCGUUUCCAGUCAUGGGAGUCAGGCAUCAUGGAUCAGCUCAGCCCAGCUCUCAAGGCUAUGUUCCCUGCUGUGCUAACAUUACGGCUUGGUGUGGACAAGCAGGUGAUCUGUCUGAUGAGGGGCCGCGCUGAGGGCAAUGUGUGGAGACAGGUGCUGGAGAGCCACUGUGAGGAGUACCUGCAAAAGGAAAGACCUCUACAACACCCUCCUCAGCCAGCACAAUGAACCUGGAAAGAUCACAAGGAAUUUGAGCAUGUCCUUUCAGCUACCUCUGCCAAGGGCAAAGCUGCCAUGUCCCAGACUGCUGCGGAAGGCCUUCCUCAUUGCUUAGACGGACAACAUAGAGGACUAUCGUACUCAGAUUAAGUCCAUGUUUGAAAAAGUGCUUAAGUACGACUCCACCAAAAAGAUCUGCAAGAAACUGUCUGGGCAUGGGAAAGGCAAAUGAGGAGGUGCAGAUCCUCAUGUCUGUCUUGAUGUGUGAGGAGUCCCUGGAGAAGCUAUGGCCAAGACUGAAGGCCUCAUGGACAGGUACACGAGAGCAGGAGAGGCACCUCCCAAACGAUGUACGUGGACCGUGGCUGCUGUUGUAUCCAUGGGGUCUCGUCCUUGGAGCAACUGUUCAGCAACUAGGCAGAGGCUGGCAUGCUAGUACGGCUAGACUUUUUCAUUGGAUACACCGAUUUAAUACAGCCGUCAGAACAGAUCACCAUCCAAAAUAUGCCCCGUUCAAGUCUGCACUCUCUGCCGCCAUCUUUUCAUACAACAAAGAUGACAUGGCACUGCUCCUGCAGGCCAUACGUGCAGGACACUUAACCCACUAUGACUCCCUGACUGAUGGCCAGCUGAUUGACACAUACAUCAUCAAGCACGAUCUCCGUCAUUAUGUCAGGAGGAUCACAGUGGUGGCUAUCCAACGGACUAUCGAUGUCCUGAAGGGAGCACACGUAACAGUGUGCACCUUGCAUGGUAUAAGACAGUAAGAGGCAGCAACAGCCUAGAUGCUUGUUGAGAUUGCGCUGGAGAAGGGAAAGCUUGCUCUCAGUGACCCUACAAGGCAGAAGGUCAUCAGUGCCUGGAGCAAGCUUGAACUCCACGUCCGGAACAUCCAGCAGUUUGACAGUCUCUACUUGGCACGCUGGGGCAAUGCGCUCUUCAGUCGCACAAAUGGAGAUCCAGCAGAAUCUUUCAUUGUGCAAAAACUAAAGUUCAAAAAGGUAAUCGACGGCCCACCUGCUGGACUCCAGAAAGAACCGCCUCAUGUAGUGCCUCAUUAAACAGCUGUGGCUUCACCCAAACUGUGGAGCGAAGAGUUGUGCGUUGCUGCAGAAACAAGAGGUCACCUGGCUCUACCGGUGUGUCCAGCAAAGGGUGACUGUUGAGGACCCUGUACUCAGCAUGCUCGGGAUUCCCAUACUGAAAAUUAACACCAAAAGCGUUGCUGAAUUCAUCAGGAGACAGGAGGCCUUGUUGGCCAGAAAUGUCACAGAUCGAGGCCUAUCCAUCCUACGCCGUCAGCAGUCUCUUUCUGGCACCAGCUAACCCCCAGCACUGGAGCUUCCUGAUGAACAACCCCACACCAGCCGGCCUUAAGUGCAGUAUAAGGUCACUCCGUCUCUGGCAGGAACCAGGAGACUAAAACAAAGAGCCGCUCGUAGUUUGCCUCCACCCUCUACUCAGCCACUGCCGUUUCUCUCCACUCAGCCACCGCCGUUUUCGUUCACUCUGCCAGCUCAGCCACAACCAUUUUUCUCCACUCUGACACACACCGUUGCUGCCGGACUCCAGCCCACCCACAGUCAGGUGAAGGCAGGACCCCUAAUUGUGCCUCUUGCUGACCACCCAUCGGUCACUGGCAAGGUCAACAGUCUACAAAAGGAAGAGGGCACAGCACAGGGGCGCUAACCAAGAAGCCCCAGUUAGGUGGUACAUUUGUGCGCUGUGUGGCCUACCGACACAAGGUCACAAAAAAAAACUAUUGUGACAGCACAAAGUCAUCCCCUUAAAAGGACUUGAUGGAAAAACUUUUGGAGACAUUUGAAGAAUUUCAAGAGGCAGUGGACCUUGUUUAGUGUCCUUGAGUGACAAAGGGGAUGGGUUGUAAAUUGUUCUAUAUUUUGUUCCAUUCAUUUUGCUGUUCGAUAUUACCGUUCAUGUUCUACAGUUGUUGUGUUCCCCUGUGUUAUUUAUAAGCUACACUGUGGUGGUGUGUUCUGUUCAAGCACAAACAGCUUGUAUAUUGUUUUGCUGAAAAAAGCACAUCUAUGUACCGAGGCCUGUGGCCCCUAAUCCUCCUUUUUUGUAAGGUCAAAAUGGGUAUCUUGAUAUAAAUCUAAUUUGUAAAGUGUACAUUUGUGCAUACAAAUAUAAUGAAAGGUUUAUUGCUGUUUAUUAAUGGCUUAUAAUCUAACUUGUUCAUUGUUGUUUAAGAAAAAGUGAAUUAUAUAUUUGCACAUAUUUAAA